rnacentral:rRNA from 1 species
AGUGAACGUUGGCGGCGUGGAUUAGGCAUGCAAGUCGAGCGAGAACCGUAGCAACACGGGGACAGCGGCGAAAGGGACAGUAAUGUGUAGGUACCUACCUCCGGGUUCGGGAUAGCUGCGGGAAACUGCAGGUAAUACCGAAUAACGUCUCCGGACCAAAGGUGUGAUUCCACCUGGAGAGGGGCCUGCAUCCGAUUAGCUUGUGGGCGGGGUAACGGCCCACCAAGGCGACGAUGGGUAGCGGGUGUGAGAGCACGACCCGCGUCAUCGGGACUGAGACACUGCCCAGACACCUACGGGUGGCUGCAGUCGUGAAUCUUCGGCAAUGGGCGCAAGCCUGACCGAGCGACGCCGCGUGCGGGAUGAAGGCCUUCGGGUUGUAAACCGCUGUCGUAGAGGAGGAAAUGCAGGGGGGUUCUCCCCUCUGUUUGACCUAUUCUAGGAGGAAGUACGGGCUAAGUUCGUGCCAGCAGCCGCCGUAA